rnacentral:rRNA from 1 species
UACGAAGGGUGCGAGCGUUGUUCGGAUUUAUUGGGCGUAAAGGGUUCGUAGGCUGGAGGAAAAGUUGAAUGUGAAAUCCACGGGCUUAACCUGUGACGUGCAUUCAAAACUCUCCUUCUUGAAUGUCAGAGAGGGUUGUGGAAUUGCUGGUGUAGGAGUGACAUCCGUAGAGAUCAGCAGGAACACCGGAGGCGAAAGCGACAACCUGGCUGAACAUUGACGCUGAGGAACGAAAGCGUGGGGAGCAAACAGG